CCUUCGAAAAGGCUCACCCGCGCGAAAGCCGGGGUCGCAAAGUCACCGGUCUUCGAGCGCCAGCCGGCGCGUCAUGACAGCGGAACUGCCGAG
rnacentral:ncRNA from 1 species